rnacentral:lncRNA from 1 species
AGCAUAAUGCAUCUUCUGAGUUGGCCACUCAGUAGUUGAAUCUUAGGCAUUUCCCCCCGAAAGGUGUUCGAGGAAAUGCCCGAGACAACUCUUCUUAGCUUUUAGCAUACUUUGCCAAAGACAUUUGUUGUUAGAGGUGCUAAGAUAGCCAUUGGACUUGCUGGUUAUGAUUGCUUUCAUAUUAUUCAACCAAAGACAUUUGAUGU